ensembl:lincRNA
GGGGAAAUGGACAUGGGUGAACUCAGAAAAUUUACUGAUGUUUGAUUUACAGGUGAAGCAAGGGAAGAGCAGUAAAAUGUGAUCCAGAGACAGAACGAGAACAGACAUUUGCUGAUGCAGUUCCAACGAGAGAGAGAGAGAACGCAAGCAAGUACAAGCAGGGGGAGCAGCCAGCGGAGAGAGAAGAAGACUUCCCACUAAGGAAGGAGCUGGAUGCGGACAUCAGUCUCAGACUCCGGAAUCAUAACCUGAUGUAUAACCAACUGAGAUGUAUAACCAACUGAGCCACCCAGGCGUCCCUAAGCCAAAGUUCUUUUAAGUGCAGUCUUAUAUAUGUAUGAUUGCAUGCAAUUUGUAAACCAAUUUUUAAAAUGAAUUUGAUAAGAAAUAAUUUGGGACUUCUUUUCAAAAAGAAUUUUCUUUUCAACGCCUAUUUAUAGUCAUCUCUCUAAGCAAGCUCUCCAAAAGCAAUCCCUUUCUCUAGAAACAAGACCUCUUCGUUACCUGAUCUUACCUGUGAGAUCCCACCCAUUUGAUGCCCUGUAAAUUUUUACAUUAAAGGUAUUACUUUCCCUGCUGCCUGAAAAGGAAACAUCUACCUCCAAAAAUAACAAUGCUCCAAAUAUAGAAUGGCAGCAUCCAUAAGCUAUUGAAAUAUUUAAUCAGAGGAUGAUAAAAAUACUUACUUGAAGCUAUUUGUUGCCUUGAAAAAUCCGUCACUUUCUUCCUUUUAACACAACCUCCUUUCCAAUAUACCUACUGUCAAUGUGAAUUUAGAGAUAAAGCAGAUCACUCCUCCCCUCACACCUGCUUUACUGAAAUAUAAUUGGACAGAUAACUAGGUGAAAGUUUAAGAUGUAUAUAUGUGGUGAUUUGAUAUACAUAUAUAUUGUGAAAUGAUUACCAUACUAGAGUUAGUUAUCUUUAUCAUCUCGCACAAUUACUAUUUUUGUAUGUGUGGUGAGAACAUUUAAGAUCUACUCUCUUAGUAACUUUCAGGUAUACAGUACAGUCUUACUUCUGUCUUCAUUGAGCUAGACAUUAGGUCCCAAGAACUUACUCAUCCUAUAACUGAAAGUUUGAACCCACUGACCAACAUCUCCACAUUUCCCCUUUCUCCCAGUAUCAGAAUAUAAGAAGUAGCAAAACCCUAACUGGCAUUCUUCUUUUUCUUUAAAAAAAAAAAACUUUUAGGGCAGUGUGGGGUUAACUGAGAAGGAGGUAUAGAGAUUUCUCAUAUAUCCUUUGUCCCCCCAACUGGCAUUUUUAAGAACAGAACUUUGGUGUUUUUACAACAUAGCUCUUUAUAUUGAAUUUUAAAAUAUCACCUUGGACCAUACAGUUUUAGCAACUAGACAUAUCAUAAAAAGGGAUAUAUUAAACUGUAAGAAAUUAAUUGAGUUACCUGAAAGACCUUAUAUUUUUGUUUAUAAACCAAGAAAUGGAGUUAGAAAGGAGAAUUGAAGAGCUGUAAGUUACUGGUUUAGUAAGUGGAUCAAUAUCAAAAAUGAUCUUGAACUGCUUAAUUUGUCUAUGCAUUACUUUGUCCUUGAUCAGGAUAAGACCAUAAAUAUAAGAGAAGGAAAGAAACUCCUGGCUUAACAAGUCUGUUCAGUUUGACUGAUAACAUUUAUUUCAUGCUCCCUAAAACUUCUUUCUCUGAGCUUGGAGUGGAAAAAUGCUUACCAUAAAAAAAGUUUUAUUACCUUAAUUUCUAAGUUAGUGAAAUGAUGAAGGCAUGUCCUUCUGAUGUCAGAAAUGUAAGAUGUAAGAUCAUAAUUGUACCCAUAGACUGAGAAAGAUUAGAGCAGAAUAAAGGGAGAGCCUGACUGCUCAUUUCAGAAGAAAGCUAGGAGACUCACUCUAGAAGUGGCCAACAAUGACUUUUCAGGAAUAAUUAUAAACCUGGUUCAUAAAUAACUAUUCUGGGGCAAUAAAUAGCAUCAGUGUUAGAAAUCAAUGCCUUGGUGCCAGUUCAUAACAACAUGCUCUCAGUUCCAAAC